GUGCCAGCAGCCGCGGUAAUACGUAGGGUGCGAGCGUUGUCCGGAAUUACUGGGCGUAAAGAGCUCGUAGGUGGUUUGUCGCGUCGUCUGUGAAAUUCCGGGGCUUAACUCCGGGCGUGCAGGCGAUACGGGCUGACUUGAGUGCUGUAGGGGAGACUGGAAUUCCUGGUGUAGCGGUGAAAUGCGCAGAUAUCAGGAGGAACACCGAUGGCGAAGGCAGGUCUCUGGGCAGUAACUGACGCUGAGGAGCGAAAGCAUGGGUAGCGAACAGGAUUAGAUACCCUGGUAGUCCAUGCCGUAAACGGUGGGCGCUAGGUGUAGGGGGCUUCCACGUCUUCUGUGCCGUAGCUAACGCAUUAAGCGCCCCGCCUGGGGAGUACGGCCGCAAGGCUAAAACUCAAAGGAAUUGACGGGGGCCCGCACAAGCGGCGGAGCAUGUGGAUUAAUUCGAUGCAACGCGAAGAACCUUACCUGGGCUUGACAUACACCAGAUCGGGCCAGAGAUGGUCUUUCCCUUUGUGGUUGGUGUACAGGUGGUGCAUGGUUGUCGUCAGCUCGUGUCGUGAGAUGUUGGGUUAAGUCCCGCAACGAGCGCAACCCUUGUCUUAUGUUGCCAGCACGUUAUGGUGGGGACUCGUGAGAGACUGCCGGGGUUAACUCGGAGGAAGGUGGGGAUGACGUCAAAUCAUCAUGCCCCUUAUGUCCAGGGCUUCACACAUGCUACAAUGGUCGGCACAACGCGUCUGCGAGCCUGUGAGGGUGAGCUAAUCGCUGUAAAGCCGGUCGUAGUUCGGAUUGGGGUCUGCAACUCGACCCCAUGAAGUCGGAGUCGCUAGUAAUCGCAGAUCAGCAACGCUGCGGUGAAUACGUUCCCGGGCCUUGUACACACCGCCCGUCACGUCAUGAAAGUUGGUAACACCCGAAGCCAGUGGCCUGUCAUGGGAGCUGUCGAAGGUGGGAUCGGCGAUUGGGACGAAGUCGUAACAAGGUA
rnacentral:rRNA from 1 species